rnacentral:rRNA from 1 species
AACGAACGCUGGCGGCAGGCUUAACACAUGCAAGGCGAGCGCCCCGCAAGGGGAGCGGCAGACGGGUGAGUAACGCGUGGGAAUCUACCCAUCUCUACGGAAUAACGCAUGGAAACGUGUGCUAAUACCGUAUACGUCCUUCGGGAGAAAGAUUUAUCGGAGAUGGAUGAGCCCGCGUUGGAUUAGCUAGUUGGUGGGGUAAAGGCCUACCAAGGCGACGAUCCAUAGCUGGUCUGAGAGGAUGAUCAGCCACACUGGGACUGAGACACGGCCCAGACUCCUACGGGAGGCAGCAGUGGGUAAUAUUGGACAAUGGGCGCAAGCCUGAUCCUGCCAUGCCGCGUGAGUGAUGAAGGCCCUAGGGUUGUAAAGCUCUUUCACCGGUGAAGAUAAUGACGGUAACCGGAGAAGAAGCCCCGGCUAACUUCGUGCCAGCAGCCGCCGUAAAAC